rnacentral:rRNA from 1 species
CACGUAGGGUGCGAGCGUUGUCCGGAAUUAUUGGGCGUAAAGAGCUCGUAGGCGGUGUGUCGCGUCGGCCGUGAAAACCUGCAGCUUAACUGUGGGCUUGCGGUCGAUACGGGCAUCACUGGAGUUCGGCAGGGGAGACUGGAAUUCCUGGUGUAGCGGUGAAAUGCGCAGAUAUCAGGAGGAACACCGGUGGCGAAGGCGGGUCUCUGGGCAGUAACUGACGCUGAGGAACGAAAGUGUGGGGAGCGAACAGG